CCAAGGAGUCAGGGGCUCGUCCGAAAGCCGCCUUGGCCCAAUGUAGGUGAAGAGCCCGGCCCGGGGCCCGAGGUGGGAUCCCGAGGCCUCUCCAGUCCGCCGAGGGAGGGCGCACCACCGGCCCGUCUCGCCCGCCGCGCCGGGAAGGUGGAGCACGAGCGUAUGCUUUAGGACCCGAAAGAUAGUGAAGUAUGCCUGGGCAGGGCGAAGCCAGAGGAAACUCUGGUGGAGGUCCGUAGCGGUCCUGACGUGCAAAUCGGUCGUCCGACCUGGGUAUAGGGGCGAAAGACUAAUCGAACCAUCUAGUAGCUCG
rfam:Mus musculus chromosome 3 genomic contig, GRC reference assembly alternate locus group NOD/MrkTac.